GCCAGAUGUGGUGACGCACACCUAUAAUCCUGGCAACUCAGGAAGCUGAGGCAGGAGGAUCACAAGUUCAAGGCCAGCCUCAGCAAUUUAGUGAGACCCUGUCUCCA
rnacentral:sRNA from 1 species